AUAAAGGUACAUUAAAGAAUCAAAUAAACCCUGGUUAAGAAAUCUCAUUGUUCUAUUCUAUAGGGUUCCACUAAGUAUGCUGACACAGUCAGAGCAGUAACCAUACCAGUAGGAUGGUUUGGUAUUUGGCAGAUUAUUAAAAUCCUUUCAGAGGAGCUGGAGUAACUAACUGCAUGAAGUUUCUUCUCCUAGAUUGAAUGAUAGCAUCGAGACUAAGAUGGCCAUGAAAUAAGAAGGUGCUGACUGAGCAGGAUGAGAGCCAUUGGAUAUUUCCUCCAUUCACCUACCCUCUUUUUUCCUUCUGUCUUCACCUCAGUUGGAGGACUAGAGAGGCUGAGCAGUAAAUUCUGAGUCCCGGUACCAGACAUCACUGUAGGAAUGAAGUGCAAGGGAAGAGGAAAUGAUGAGCUGCAUGGGAGAUGAAAAGAUGACUUUGGGGGCUCAGGUUUAUUAUGAAGUUUUAAGGAGAAAAACUAUCAAAAAGUAUACUCUACCUCAAACAGAAUAUGGGGAGAAACAAGAGAUCUUGGCUAUCAGCUAGCUCAUGUACUAAGGAGUUCAACAAAUCCAAGGAAGAGUUACCAUAUUACCCUUACCAUGGAUUAUGUGAAGAGCCUUAUAGCCAUGUUCCAUGCCUAUGGAGGGAGCCAUUUGGAUAUCAAGGGGGGUCAGAAUUUUCAGCAGGACUUACCAAGAAAGUAAGUAAAUUGAAUUCUUUCUAAGCAUUUUUAGGAAAGGAAUAUUGACUGUCACUAAAGAGAUCCUCAAAUUGUUAUUCCUUAUAAUUUUAUGCCUUUCAGAUCUUGGGCAGGGAUUUUAAGUCCAGAUAUUAAAUAUUUAUUAAUAUGCAUUCCUCUGUUGAAUUGCUUCCAUUAUCACCAAAGGAUGGGUUUUGGUCCAGGAAAGUGAUUGUUACAGCUUUUUAGUGAAAUGACUUACCAGUUUAUAAUGUGAAAAGAAGAAACCUGUAGAAUAUUGGGUGGCUACUUUUGUAAACAUUACUGGCUCCUAUCACCCUACUGCACCCUAAAUCGUAACUGCCUUUAUUUUUUGUGCUCAGGGGCUUGCAUAUGUAUAUGUAGUUACUAGAGCAGGGAUUUAAAUGCUAUAUUUUCUCAGUUAAAAAGAAUAAGGGUAGGGGAUUUUUCUAUCUAAGACUUUAAUAUUGACAUCAGUGAAGGAUGCACAGGAAUGUGAGGUAUAGAAUUGGGUCUUUUAAUAGCAGUUGCUGGAUUGGAAUGCUGUUUCAAGCCAGGUUCAAAUCUCUUUUAAGGCAAAAGAAGAUGUUUACCUUAAAAAGCUAAGGCACAGGAGCUCAAUUGGAGACUGUUUGCUGCACAAACAAACGCUAAUGUAAUGGAAUGUUAUUUGCGUCAGUCUAUUCCUAAAUACAUUAAUUUUCUCUUUUGCUAUUCCAAAUGUUCAAUUAAAUUCUUCAGUCUUCCCCCACCCCCUGCCAGGAGCAUACUUGAACAUAGAAUUAGUUCCAUGUGAAACAAGACUAUUAACCUGUUAUUUCUUGGGCUGCAUUUGUAUAUUUUAUAUACCAGUUUACAAAGAUUCAAUAAUGAAUUUGCAAAUCAUGACAUAAAGUAAUACUAUUAACGCACUGAAAUAUGGGGUUCAACAAGUGCUGAUUUUUAAACCAGGAUUAUCUUUUAAUUAUCUUUCAAUUUAGCUUUUUCUAAUUAUAAACUUUUACAGCACAUUUUUAUUCUGUAUCUAUUUUCAUAUUUAUUUAUGCUACUAAGAAGAAACUGCACAAAAUGAAAAAAAUGGAUUUAACAUAAAGAUCCAGGUAGGGCUAUGCAAAUUGGAGAUAUCAUAAAACAGCAUAAAUGUGUAUCUUUUGUAUAGAGCUAAUGGCAGGAAGUUAGGAUUUUAUUGUGCUUUUAUUUUAUGAAUUAAUGAACAUUGUUAUUUGAAUAGUAUUUGGAGAAUGCUUACCACUUUUUUUUUAAAUGUUCAUUUUCUGCAAUAUGUUCUAUAUUAAGAAUUAACAGAUUUAAAAAAAAAAAGAAUUAACAGAUUUAUGUGGCACUAAAGGAGUAAAAAAAUAACAAUGAAGAGCUAUCUAUCAUUGAAAUAAACUCUCCUUUUUGCGAGCUCA
rnacentral:lncRNA from 1 species